UACGUAGGUGGCAAGCGUUAUCCGGAAUACUGGGCGUAAAGCGCACGCAGGCGGUCUUUUUAAGUUUUGACGUGAAAGCUCCCGGCUUAACUGGGAGAGGUCGUUGAAGACUGGAAGACUUGAGGCAAUGAGAGGGGUGUAGAAUUCCCGGUGUAGUGGUGGAAAUGCGUAGAUAUUGGGAGGAACACCAGUGGCGAAAGGCG
rnacentral:rRNA from 1 species